UUUUUUUUUAAUUUUCAUUUUGGAGUUCUAUUCCUGUUAUUCAAAAAAAUAAAAAAAAAAUAUAUGUCUGAGGAGGUUAUUUCCAUAAUGGCAGAAUGUUUUUGGUGACAGCACAGUUUGCUGCAGGUGAUGUUGUAACAUAAAAUCUCUGCUAUAUUAACUUCAUCACAGUAGUCCCUUGGGAUACUUUACUGAAGUGUAUUCUUAUGAUAAAACUCAAAUUUAAAAAUAAAAAUUACCAGAGCUAUAUUUAGCCCUGUGUUCUAAGCAGCAUAAGAUGGUGUUAGAACUACAGAACUACACCUCCAAUAUCUUCAGGAAUUUUUUACUUAGCAGUAAUUGCCAGCAAAGCAUGAGCAAGACAAAAUAUAGUUCUCACAAUGCAUCUGAUGGAAUAAAAAGGGGCAUUAUUUUCCUUGAACUAGAAUCUAUUACAGCAUUAAUGAUUGAGAUAUUCAAAAGCUUUCAACUAACAUUCAGAUAAGACAGUGGAACACAAUGUCAGUAUUUAUGAAUAUACAAAUACAUUAAGACAAUAGCAACAAGAAUUCUUUUCUAAUCGACUUCUUUUCCAUUAGGACGGCAUGAACUGCAGUUCUCCUUGACUCUUCUCUGACACUAAGAUAUAUGUAUUCUCAUAAAUUCAGUUUUACUGGGGGGAGAGGAGGGAAUAGCUGGGGGGAAAAGGAGUGAACAAAACCUGCUGAGAAAUUGUUGAAUUUCUGAUGAAAGUUUAUUUUUUCUAAAAUAACUGGUGAUUUCAACUGUGAAACUGGUAGUUUCACAAGGAAUACUGAAAGCACUUGGCUUUCAGUAAAUGGUGAGGAUGCUUUUAUGAGGCAACAGCACAGACAUAUAAAGUCAUUAGUGAUUUUUUAAAGGGUAAAUUUGUUCUUAGAACACAUGCCCAGGAGACUGAGCAACCAAUAGAAUCACAAAAUCAUAGAAUAGUUUGGGCUUGAAGGGACCUUCAAGAUCAUCUAGUUCCAACUUCUCUGUCACAGGCAGCGACACCUUUCAGUGCACAGCACGUUGCUCAAAGCCCCAUCCAGCCUGGCCCUCAAUGCUGCCAGGGAUGUGGCAUCAACAAUUUCUCUGAGCAACCUGCUCCAGUGUCUCAUCACCCUCACUGUAAAGAAUUUCCUCUUAAUAUCUAACCUAAACCCACCCUCUUUCAGCUAAAAGUUCUUUCCCCUUGUCCUGUCACUACAUGCCUAUGCCAAAAGUCCUUCUAUACCUCUUGUAGCCCCCUUUAGGUACUGGAAGGUCUUCCUAGAGCCUUCUCUUCUCUAGGCUGAGCAACCCCAACACUCUCAGCCUGUCUUCAGAGCAGAGAUGCUCCAGCCUUCUCGUGGCUCCUCUGGACUUGCUGCAGCAGGUCCAUGUCCUUCCCGUGCUGGAGGCCCCAGAGCUGAUGCAGCCCUGCAGGUGGGGUCUCAGCAGAGCAGAGCAGAGGGGCAGAAUCCCCUCCCUGGUCCUGCUGCCCAUGUUGCUCUGGAUGCAGCCCAGAACAGCUUUGACUUUCUGGGCUGUGAGUGCACAUGGCUAGCUCAUGCUGAGGAUCUCAUACACCAACACACAGUAAUAUUACACACUCAUGUAGGACAGGACUUGAAUGCAAUACCUUACCCAGUGGCAGCUGAUGACAGAAGCCAGUGAGACUGCACAUAAUUACCCAAGCUGGAAUUUUGCCCAGAUACCCAAGUUAACAGCCUAGAACAUACAUACCACGGAUCUUUAAUUAUCACCAGUGUUCAUGACCUCAGUUUUAUGCAUCAUCUGAAGUGUGCCCUGGGAAAUAAGCAAAGUCUCCAGUAUACACGACUGAGUGAAAACCAGUAAAGAUUUGGGUGAUUUAUAGAGAGAAAAGCAAAGCAUUGGUUAGAACUGCAAAGAUCUCCCUAGGAAGGUAAUAGGGAUACAAAAUCUGAUUUUUGUCACAAAUGAUUUUCAGCUAGCAAGAUCUCAUGGAGAAAGAAAAAAAACCCACCCUUUUCUUUCAUCAGUCAAUGCAAGUUUGAUGAUGCUGCCUCUUGAUUUAAUGUUGCUCUACCCAGGUAUAAAAGGGAAUUUCAAAGCUACUCUACUAUUUAAAGAAACUCCUACUGCCUUAAAUCUUUUUGAGAAUAUACUGAUUGCAUUACCAAGAGAUUAGAAGCACUGGUUUUUAAAGAAUUUCUGUUGUUACCAUCUUCACCUGACUGUGAUUUUCUAUUUUUCAUUUUCCUCUGUGUUGUGAUAGUUAAGGACAGUGAAUUGUUAGAUGCACUCCCAUUGCUGAAAAAGGUUUUAUUUCUUCAUGUCCCUUAAAAAACAUGUUGAGGCACUCUUCAACAUGAGUUAAAUUGGUUUAUGCAAAAUAUUGUUUAGAAAAUAGCUCUAUACGAGAGAUUAUGAAAAGCAGAACAAAAUCAAAUUUUCCUUUAGCAUCUACUGUAACUCAUCAGUGAGCUGGCUACUUCUUUAAUUGAAAAGAACUAUCUUUGUCACUGCCUGUCUCUUAAAACUAUACUUUGUAACAGUACAUACAUAGCACUGAAUUUACUCUCACAUGAAAGUUAGGGAACAAUUGGCAGGAAGAAAAAAUCGAUGGCUUUAAACUGGUAUUUGGUUUCAUAUUUCUUUAAUUCAUUCUAACUAGGAAAUGGGAAGAAUCAUUAUUAUUCAUUCAGAUUUACUCCUAAGACCUAGAGAAUUUGUUGGCCACAAGACCAUCCAUUUUAUGCAUGCUAGAGUUAAGGAGGUACCAAAUCAGUCACAGGUGCCUGUGUCAGAGCCUGAGCCCCUUCUCUGACACUUUGCUGAAUUACACAGACUGCAAGGUAAAACCAUGUGUUCAUUUCCUUACCUUUUCCUUGUUAAUGUGUCAUUCUCCAGUCAUUUUCCUCAGUGUAUUUUGGCUACAGCACAGAUGACCCAUUGUAAUUUGCCUGUGAAGUCUCACUCAGAAGGCCUCAGAUGUUUGGUUUUCACGUUUUUAUUGCUAUUUUUCUUUCACUCUACUACCCCUGUAGAGUCUCAGUGAAAUCUGUUCAGUGGAAUAACACAAGUAGGGCAUGCUGCUUUCUGCCCCUGCUCGUCCUGCAAAUCUAACUCAGUGAACAGAGGAGGAACUGGAUUUUAUUCUGGCUCACACUUCAUCAGCAGGACCAUUAAUGAAGUUCCAGCAUUUUCACCUGCACCACCACAUUAACAGAAACUUGUUUAACACUGCAGGAGCAAAGAACAAAAGUGCAGUAGGAACCCACAGUGCUGCUCUGGCACUCACUUUAUCCUCCAGCUCUCUUUGAAGGAAGGAUUAAAUCCACAGCUGAAAUAAACAUCUCUCUUGGGAAAAAAAAAAAAAAA
ensembl:lncRNA